CACUUGGGGCCGCUACAUACAAGUAGAAGGAGGGGUCACCGAGUUGCUGCGCUGCUCCCGGAGCCCUUCUUCAGUACAAAUGCCCCGCGCCCUCGGCAAGGGCGUCCUGAGCAGGAGACCUGAGUGAGCGGGGAGGAGCAGAUGGGCACUGCUGUGGUGGGAGCAAGGGAAGAAAGUGGGUGUGAGAAGGAAACGGGGAAAUAGAAUGCGCAGGAGUCUAAAGGACCGGGGUGAUGUGGCGUGAAGGGGUGAGAAGACGCUUGGGGACAAAAGCGUGACAGGAGAUUUGGGGAUGACGAAGGAACGAUAUCUGUGCUUGAGAAAGUUUUGGAGAAUGUUGGAGCAAAAAAGGAGUAACCAGACCAUCGCAGAAAAACAAUUUUCCCUCAAUGCUCAAGUCUCAUCAAAAAGGAACAUUUGGAGGUGCACAGUGGCUCACACCUAUAAUCCCA
rnacentral:lncRNA from 1 species